UACGUAGGGGGCCAGCGUUGUCCGGAAUCAUUGGGCGUAAAGCGCGCGUAGGCGGCCAGAUAAGUCCGGUGUGAAAGUCACAGGCUCAACCUGUGAAUGCCGCUGGAAACUAUCUGGCUAGAGUCCGGAAGGGGCGAGUGGAAUUCCUGGUGUAGCGGUGAAAUGCGCAGAUAUCAGGAGGAACACCAACGGCGAAGGCAGCUCGCUGGGACGGUACUGACGCUGAGACGCGAAAGCGUGGGGAGCGAACAGG
rnacentral:rRNA from 1 species